UGAGUACGAGAUGCUACGGCGUCGAAGCAGUCUAGGUCAUACUUCCAAGAAAAGCUUGCACUGUCAUAAACAAAGAAUGCCUGUACCAUAACCGACACAGGUGGGUAGGUAGAGUAUACUAAGGGGCGCGAGAUAUCUCUCUCUAAGGAACUCGGCAAAAUGACUCCGUAACUUCGGGAGAAGGAGUGCCUUAUUUUUAAGGUUGCAAUAACAAGAUCCAAGCAACUGUUUACCAAAAACACAGGUCUCCGCUAAGUCGUAAGACGAUGUAUGGGGGCUGACGCCUGCCCAGUGCCAGAAGGUUAAAGAAGUUGGUUAGCAUUUGCGAAGCUGAUAACUGAAGCCCUGGUGAACGGCGGCCGUAACGAUAACGGUCCUAAGGUAGCGAAAUUCCUUGUCGGGUAAGUUCCGACCCGCACGAAAGGCGUAAUGAUUUGGAUACUGUCUCGGAGAGGGGCUCGGUGAAAUAGACUUGUCUGUGAAGAUGCGGACUACCUGCACCUGGACAGAAAGACCCUAUGAAGCUUUACUGUAACUUGAGAUUGAAAUUGGACUUUAUUUGCGCAGUAUAGGUGGGAGGCGUUGAGAAUAAUCUUGCGGGAUUAUCGGAGCCAUCAGUGAGAUACCACUCUUGUAAUGUUAGAUUUCUAACUUUGUAUCAUUAUCUGGUCAAAGAACAGUUUCAGGCGGGCAGUUUGACUGGGGCGGUCGCCUCCCAAAGGGUAACGGAGGCGCACAAAGGUUUCCUCUGAACGGGUAGAAAUCGUAUCUAGAGUGUAAAGGCAUAAGGAAGCUUGACUGUGAGACCUACAAGUCGAGCAGGGACGAAAGUCGGUCUUAGUGAUCUGACGGUGCUGAGUGGAAAGGCCGUCACUCAACGGAUAAAAGUUACUCUAGGAUAACAGGCUGAUCUCCCCCAAGAGUUCACAUCGACGGGGAGGUUUGGCACCUCGAUGUCGGCUCAUCGCAUCCUGGGGCGGUAGUACGUCCCAAGGGUUGGGCUGUUCGCCCAUGAAAGCGGUACGCGAGCUGGGUUCAGAACGUCGUGAGACAGUUCGGUCCAUAUCCGGUGUAGGCGUUAGAAUAUUGAAAGGAGCCUUCUCUAGUACGAGAGGACCGAGAAGGACAUACCUCUGGUGUGCCAGUUAUCGUGCCAACGGUAAACGCUGGGUAGCUAUGUAUGGAGUGGAUAACCGCUGAAAGCAUCUAAGUGGGAAGCCCACCUUAAGAUAAGUAUUCUCACC
rnacentral:rRNA from 1 species